GAUGAACGCUGGCGGCGUGCCUAAUACAUGCAAGUCGAGCGAACAGACGCGGCGCUUGCUCCUCUGUCGUUAGCGGCGGACUGGUGAGUAACACGUGGAUAACCUACCUAUAAGACUGGGAUAACUUCGGGAAACCGGAGCUAAUCCCGGACAAUAUAUUGCACCGCAUGGUUCAUUAGUGAAAGCCGGUUUUGCUGACACUCAUAGAUGGAUCUACGCCGCAUUAGCUAGUUGGUAAGGUAACGGCCUACCAAGGCAACGAUGCGUAGCCGACCUGAGAGGCUGAUCGGCCACACUGGAACAGAGACACGGUCAUGACUCCUACGGGAGGCAGCAGUAGGGAAUCUUCCGCAAUGGGUCGAAGCAUGACGGAGCAACGCCGCGGGAGGGAUAAAGGUCUUCGGAUCGUCAGACACUGUUAUUAGCGAAGAAGAAAUGUGAAAGGACCGAUGCACGUGUUGACAGUACCUAAUCAGAAAGCCUCGGCUAACUCCGUG
rnacentral:rRNA from 1 species